rnacentral:rRNA from 1 species
AGAGUUUGAUCCUGGCUCAGAUUGAACGCUGGCGGCAUGCUUUACACAUGCAAGUCGAACGGCAGCAUAGAGAGCUUGCUCUCUGAUGGCGAGUGGCGAACGGGUGAGUAAUACAUCGGAACGUGUCCUGUUGUGGGGGAUAACUACUCGAAAGAGUAGCUAAUACCGCAUAAGACCUGAGGGUGAAAGCGGGGGACCGAAAGGCCUCGCGCAGUUGGAGCGGCCGAUGACUGAUUAGCUAGUUGGUGGGGUAAAGGCCUACCAAGGCGACGAUCAGUAGCUGGUCUGAGAGGACGACCAGCCACAUUGGGACUGAGACACGGCCCAAACUCCUACGGGAGGCAGCAGUGGGGAAUUUUGGACAAUGGGGGCAACCCUGAUCCAGCCAUGCCGCGUGCGGGAAGAAGGCCUUCGGGUUGUAAACCGCUUUUGUUAGGAACGAAAAGGCUUUGACGAAUAAUCAGAGCUGCUGACGGUACCUAAAGAAUAAGCACCGGCUAACUACGUGCCAGCAGCCGCGGUAAUACGUAGGGUGCGAGCGUUAAUCGGAAUUACUGGGCGUAAAGCGUGCGCAGGCGGUUAAGUAAGACAGAUGUGAAAUCCCUGAGCUUAACUUAGGAAUUGCAUUUGUGACUGCUUGACUGGAGUGUGUCAGAGGGAGGUGGAAUUCCAAGUGUAGCAGUGAAAUGCGUAGAUAUUUGGAAGAACACCGAUGGCGAAGGCAGCCUCCUGGGAUAACACUGACGCUCAUGCACGAAAGCGUGGGGAGCAAACAGGAUUAGAUACCCUGGUAGUCCACGCCCUAAACGAUGUCUACUAGUUGUUGGACCGAAUGGUUUAGUAACACAGCUAACGCGAGAAGUAGACCGCCUGGGGAGUACGGUCGCAAGAUUAAAACUCAAAGGAAUU